rnacentral:rRNA from 1 species
CCUCCGGGGGGCCGCCGUGGGGGCUCUUGCCCCCUGGGGGGCCCCCUGCUGCCGCGCCUCCUCUUUUGUUCCGAAGCGCCUCGGCGCGUAAAGCCCUGUCAGCAGGGAAGAAAAUGACGGUACCUGAAGAAGAAGCCCCGGCUAACUACGUGCCAGCAGCCGCGGUAAUACGUAGGGGGCAAGCGUUAUCCGGAUUUACUGGGUGUAAAGGGGGCGCAGACGGCGAUGCAAGCCAGGAGUGAAAGCCCGGGGCCCAACCCCGGGACUGCUCUUGGAACUGCGGGGCUGGAGUGCAGG